GUGUACUUCAGUAACUCAGUCAACAGAGGGAAGCAGAUGGCAAACAUUUCCUCCCAGAAGCCCGGGGUUUCUUUCUGGUAUUUUAGCAAUAUGACAGUUUGUCUAGAAAAAAAAUCUGUUGGGAAAAAACACUGCUAACACUGAUCUUUCCCUGCUCAUCUGGACACCAUAAAGGUUCCAGAGAGAAACAGCAAUCUCCAACUGCAACUGUGAUCUCAUCCCCCUGAAGACAGCAGGGUGAAACGUCUAAUUAUUACCCAUGGUACCAAGUCUCUGCACAGUGCACAGGUCUUCUGGUUUUGGUUUUGUUUUUUUAAAGAAAUCUUCUUUCUCUUAUGCCAUAAAUGUUAGAACUGAG
rnacentral:lncRNA from 1 species